rnacentral:rRNA from 1 species
UACGAGGGAGGGCAAGCGUUGUCCGGAAUCAUUGGGCGUAAAGAGCGUGUAGGCGGCCAGAUAAGUCCGCUGUGAAAUCUCGAGGCUCAACUUCGAGCUGUCGGUGGAAACUGUCUGGCUAGAGUCCGGAAGAGGAGAAUGGAAUUCCUGGUGUAGCGGUGAAAUGCGCAGAUAUCAGGAAGAACACCCGUGGCGAAGGCGGUUCUCUGGGACGGUACUGACGCUGAGACGCGAAAGCGUGGGGAGCGAACAGG